rnacentral:tRNA from 1 species
GCCUUCGUGGUGUAGUGGUUAGCACGCUCGACGCGUAACCGAAAGGUCCGUGGUUCGAUUCCCGGCUAAGGCG